ensembl:misc_RNA Metazoa_SRP Metazoan signal recognition particle RNA
GCCGGGUGUGGUGGUGUACUCCUGUAAUCCCAGCUACUCAGGAGGCUGAGGCAGGAGAAUCCCUUGAGCCCAGGAGGCAGAGGCUGCAGUGAGCCAUGAUUGUGCCACUGCACUCCAGCCUGGGCAACAGAGAGAGACUCUGUCUAAA